AGCGAACGCUGGCGGCAGGCCUAACACAUGCAAGUCGAACGAAGUCUUCGGACUUAGUGGCGGACGGGUGAGUAACACGUGGGAACGUGCCUUUAGGUUCGGAAUAACUCAGGGAAACUUGUGCUAAUACCGAAUGUGCCCUUCGGGGGAAAGAAUUAUCGCCUUUAGAGCGGCCCGCGUCUGGUUAGCCAGUUGGUGAGGUAAAGGCUCACCAAGGCUACGAUCAGUAGCCGGUCUGAUAGGAUGACCAGCCACAUUGGGACUGGGACACGGCCCAAACUCCGACGGGAGGCAGCAGUGGGGGAUCUUGCGCAAUGGGCGAAAGCCUGACGCAGCCAUGCCGCGUGGAUGAUGAAGGUCUUAGGAUUGUAAAAUCCUUUCACCGGUGAAGAUAAUGACUGUAGCCGGAGAAGAAGCCCCGGCUAACUUCGUGCCAGCCGCCGCAGUAAAAC
rnacentral:rRNA from 1 species